rnacentral:rRNA from 2 species
GCGGCCGUAACUAUAACGGUCCUAAGGUAGCGAAAUUCCUUGUCGGGUAAGUUCCGACCCGCACGAAAGGCGUAACGAUUUGGGCACUGUCUCAACGAGGGACCCGGUGAAAUUGAAGUACCUGUGAAGAUGCAGGUUACCCGCGACUGGACAGAAAGACCCCAUGGAGCUUUACUGCAACUUGAGAUUGGAUCUCGGUGACAAAUGUACAGGAUAGGUGGGAGACUUUGAACUGAUGGCGCCAGCUGUCAGGGAGUCGAUGUUGGGAUACCACCCUUUUGUGACUGAGAUUCUAACGCCAAGCGUAACGAACUUGCGGACAUUCUCAGGCGGGCGGUUUGACUGGGGCGGUCGCCUCCGAAAGAGUAACGGAGGCGCCCAAAGGUUCCCUCAGCGCGGACGGAAAUCGCGCGAAGAGUGUAAAGGCAGAAGGGAGCUUGACUGCGAGACCAACAAGUCGAGCAGGGACGAAAGUCGGGCUUAGUGAUCCGGUGGUUCCGAGUGGAAGGGCCAUCGCUCAACGGAUAAAAGCUACCCUGGGGAUAACAGGCUAAUCUCUCCCAAGAGUCCAUAUCGACGGGGAGGUUUGGCACCUCGAUGUCGGCUCAUCACAUCCUGGGGCUGAAGUAGGUCCCAAGGGUUGGGCUGUUCGCCCAUUAAAGUGGUACGUGAGCUGGGUUCAGAACGUCGUGAGACAGUUCGGUCCCUAUCCAUCGCGGGCGCAAGAAACUUGAAGGGGGCUGCUCCUAGUACGAGAGGACCGGAGUGGACGGACCAAUGGUGUACCAGUUAUUCUGCCAAGAGUACAGCUGGGUAGCUACGUCCGGGACGGAUAAACGCUGAAAGCAUCUAAGCGUGAAACCAGCCUUGAGAUGAGGUUUCUCAUAACAAAAGUUAGUAAGACCCCUUGUAGACGACAAGGUAGAUAGGCCGGGAGUGGAAGUGCCGCAAGGCACGGAGCGGACCGGUACUAAUCGGUCGAGGGCUUAACUUA